UCCAGACUCCUACGGGAGGCAGCAGUGGGGAAUAUUGCACAAUGGGGGAAGCCCUGAUGCAGCGACGCCGCGUGAGUGAAGAAGUAUUUCGGUAUGUAAAGCUCUAUCAGCAGGGAAGAUAAUGACGGUACCUGACUAAGAAGCCCCGGCUAACUACGUGCCAGCAGCCGCGGUAAUACGUAGGGGGCAAGCGUUAUCCGGAUUUACUGGGUGUAAAGGGAGCGUAGGUGGCAGGGCAAGUCAGAUGUGAAAACCCGGGGCUCAACCCCGGGAGUGCAUUUGAAACUGUCCAGCUGGAGUGCAGGAGAGGUAAGCGGAAUUCCUAGUGUAGCGGUGAAAUGCGUAGAUAUUAGGAGGAACACCAGUGGCGAAGGCGGCUUACUGGACAGUAACUGACGUUGAGGCUCGAAAGCGUGGGGAGCAAACAGGAUUAGAUACCCCCGUA
rnacentral:rRNA from 1 species